rnacentral:rRNA from 2 species
UGGGGAAUUUUGGACAAUGGGCGAAAGCCUGAUCCAGCAAUGCCGCGUGUGUGAAGAAGGCCUUCGGGUUGUAAAGCACUUUUGUCCGGAAAGAAAUGGCUCUGGUUAAUACCUGGGGUCGAUGACGGUACCGGAAGAAUAAGGACCGGCUAACUACGUGCCAGCAGCCGCGGUAAUACGUAGGGUCCAAGCGUUAAUCGGAAUUACUGGGCGUAAAGCGUGCGCAGGCGGUUGUGCAAGACCGAUGUGAAAUCCCCGAGCUUAACUUGGGAAGUGCAUUGGUGACUGCACGGCUAGAGUGUGUCAGAGGGGGGUAGAAUUCCACGUGUAGCAGUGAAAUGCGUAGAGAUGUGGAGGAAUACCGAUGGCGAAGGCAGCCCCCUGGGAUAACACUGACGCUCAUGCACGAAAGCGUGGGGAGCAAACAGG